UCUGUCCUCUCCCUCCCUCGCCGACCCGCCCCAACCGACCGGCGAGCCGUGGUGCCCGCCCUCAUCGCCGGUGCUUGGCCCAUGGAUGCUUCUCCAUGAAAUCGCACUGGUCGUCAUCAUCUUCUACGAGGCCUUGAACUGCGACGGCGAGAUGCGGCCCCUCUACCUUCCUCUGACUUUCUCCCCUGCCGGAGCACCUGCCCCCGCUCCUGCUGCUGCGAUUCCUCAGGGCUUGGUGGUAUCGAUGCAGGACGUCGUUGGGCUUAUUGUUUCUUUCCUCCUCACAUGUGCAUCCAUGAAUCGAUGGAACGCCCAUAUUAUGUGUUGUCAUGGAUUCAGGAUAGUCAUCAGCUCAAGAAUUUGAAUUUAAAAUGAAUUCAGUAAUAUGAAUUUGUUAUGGAUUCAAAUUCUUCGUACUUCAUUCUCCUAUGUGCUAUUUCGUUAUGUGUCUUCAGAUGGAAGUUAUUUGCUAGUUUUCUAUUUGUUGAAAUACUAGCAAUAUUACUAGAAGAGCACCAAGAGACCUGGAGUCUGGAAGAUAGUGCAGGUGGCUGGUACCAAUGUUAAUGAUGAUACGCAUUCGGCGCCGCUUUUGCAAGUGCGUGACCAUGGUGUCUCAGCUAUGAGAUACCAGAAUUGGCUUGUAGCAACAGUUGUUCAUAGUUUGACUGCGAUUCUCUACACAUUCAAGGAGCAGUUACUGGCCAAAGUUUCAGAUAGCACUUGGACACUACUUUUCAGGAGUUUGGGUCCUUUUAUCUUCCUCAGUGUCAGCUUGGUGCUGUUGAUAAUUUUGGCGCGUCAUUAUUCUAUUUCUGAGGCAGCAAGAAUUGUUAUCGGCUCUUUCUGCAUAUCAUAUCUGUUGAUUGUGCUUACUGACAGCCUUUGUUACAAGAAUACCAUCAUAUUGGAGAUUAUGCUUAUUCUUCUCACUGUGUGCAUGCACACCCUGCGCUUUGUGAGCCAGGUUUGAUCAAUUCAAUUGUUUAAGUAUUUGGCAUAAUUUCACUGCAUAAUCAAUGUAACAGAUAGUUGAACUCAAAGUUAAUGCUUAGGCUACACUGAUAAACAAAAAUAGACAUACAACUAAGGUUUUGAAUAGGUACUUUGUUAAUUGCAAUUUGGACUGUAGGCAUAUGUAUCGUUUUUCAUGGUUUUAUAAUGUUUCACAUAUGCUUGGUGAUUUCCGAUAACAAUGCAGGGUGCAUCUACAAAGAUCGAGGUGAUACCUCUGUUAGUUGCAAUCCUGGGGGUCAUUCCUGGUAUUUCUUGCAUCGUUACAAUAAGAAAUGAGCUUGAGCUUCUACCACCUGGUAUACAGCAUCAUGCA